rnacentral:rRNA from 1 species
UACGUAGGGGGCGAGCGUUGUCCGGAUUUAUUGGGCGUAAAGAGCUCGUAGGCGGUUUGGCAAGUCGGGUGUGAAAACUCCGGGCUCAACUCGGAGACGCCACUCGAUACUGCCAUGACUCGAGUCCGGUAGGGGAGUGCGGAAUUCCUGGUGUAGCGGUGGAAUGCGCAGAUAUCAGGAGGAACACCGAUGGCGAAGGCAGAUCUCUGGGCCGUAACUGACGCUGAGGAGCGAAAGCAUGGGGAGCGAACAGG